GGUGCUGCCAGCCUGCACCGAUUUGGAUUUGGCUGAACUUUAUUCUUCAGUUCACUGAUUUGUAUGAUGACAUUAAGGAGACAAGAAAGGUCAGUCGAAUGGCUGCAGAAGUGUGGGGGAUAACCAAGAGCCUUCUUCCCAUGUUGCGGGAAGGCAAGCUGUUGUUUUUCUGAGGCCGAGUAGCGUCCGGAUUCCGAGCCUGCAUUCUGGAUGUCUGCACACACGCAUGGAAAGGCAGGGGGAGUGAAGCAACUCUUUGCUUCACAGAACAUUUGCAAAAUGUGUGCCCACUGCGGUUGUGUUUUGCCCUCUUUUGGAGAGAUGCAUUUCCUCUUUUUGGUCAGGGAGAAGAUGGAGAUCACCAGCCUCAAAUUCCCCAAGGGAAAACGAGUGUCUCCUCUCUGGCAGAAACAUCCAUUUCCAAGAGGGGAUGCUGGAGCCAGCCGUUCCUGGUGGAGCAGAUGUCCCACUGCACCAGGGGAGCUCCUUCCAUCACCUUGCCCUGCCCUGCCAGACUCUGCAGGGUGGGGGUUAGCCCUUUCUUUCUGCACGUGUCUGGAGUCAGUUCGCACAACCCCGCACAACUAAUCCAUUGUGACAUUUCAGUCUGGAUGAGAUAUUAAAUAUCUUUGCGUGUCUUUGACUGCCUUGACACAGAGGGCUCUCUCAACCUGGUGCUGAAGGAUGAGACAGCGGGUGCCAGCAGGCGAUCAGUGCACAGCGGUAAUGGGGCAGCUCCCAGGAAGGCCCUCUUCCUUGUUGUGAUCCUCUAGGCCUCCCUCAGCAGAGGUGCUCGGACACGGUCCUCAGAUGUUGCUCACAGAGUUUGUAUAGGCUCAGGCUAAGGGAGGCAGCUCAUCACAUAUUGAUUUGCAGAGCUUUUAGUAAAAUAUGCUGCUCCCCACACCCUUUGGCCCUUUGUCCUUUCUCUUGGGCCCUGCCUCCUUUGCGUGGGCCUUUUGCAUCGCUGGAAUGCAGUCCUUGAUAGUUUCUUUGAAAUAGAAUUCAGCCCUCUGGUUCAAGGUGUUUCCUCAGCCCUGUCUAAUGAGUAUGCUUCUUCUUGGAGGCAUCUUGGCUGUAGGACCAGGUAGGCUUGUGGAGUGGCUCUGGCGCCUGGCUCGGCAAGUGGAGCUCAUCAAGAAGCUGUUCUCUUUACAAAGCUCUCCAGGCCUUGAGGUUGUUCUUGCAAGCUACUUGUGCCAACCUAGAGUGCUUUGGCCUGUGAUGCCUCAGUUUAAUAGGGAAGCUGAUAGCAAGCCAUCUGGGAUCCCAAACUUCUCUAGUGUUGUGCUCCCACAUGACCUGUUGUGUUGUCCUGUGCAGCAGAGGACUGUUUCUUCCCCUGCUACCAAGAGGUCACUCUGAAACUAUCCAGAGUGGGGUGUGAUAUGGGGAGGGGGGCUCUGCUUAAAGAAAAAGUGGAACGAGAACAGCAAAACAACCACAGGCCGUGCCCAAGGCCUUUCUUACACCUCACGCAGCUCUCUGCAAGUUGGCUUAUUAGAGAAAGACACCGCGAAGGAGGGUUUGUUGCUGAGCCAGGUGGCUCCCUCCCCAGCAAAUCAGCACCUGCAUCUUCAUGCUGCUCAAGCUACAAGAAAGACUGAUUUGGAUAUUCGACUUACGCUUGCCUACAUGGAAAACCGAAAUGGAACAGAAAUAGAUGGAUAUGUCCCUCGUUGCUCUGGAGUCUAUGAUUGCAGCCAUGGGCCCUCUCUGUAAAUGGUUUUGCUGUUUAAUUAGUGGAUUUUCAUUUUCCCUUUUAUGAAAAGUAAAUGUGCUUCUCUCUCUCUCUCUCUCUCUCUCUCUCUCUCUCUGCUUUUAAAGUAGCCGUGUGCGAAGCAAGCCGCAGCUUCCCAUGUCACCCCGCUUUCUCAGCUUCUGCUACCUACUCGUAAUCAAUAGUUCUCAUUACGGGGCAUCAGUUGAUUUCCUUGCCAUGUAGCUGUCGCUGAUAUUGCUUUCUGCCUCCCAUCCCCAAGCUGACCCACCCAGCCUGCAGCUGCUGCUGAGCCUUUUAAUGUCAGAAUGACCAAGAGAAGCACACAGGAUCUGACAUGGGGAGACAAAGGAAGCAGAGGGGGUUGAGGAGGAAUCUGUGAAAACACCCUCAAGAAAUGACGAGCAGCACAGAGGAUGAUGAUUCACGUCUCUGCAGUGAUCCUUCAGUAAAAGGUAACGGAGCAGAACAAAAAAGCAUUUUCCAUCUUCCCGGAUUCAUCUCACCUGAUCUUGACAGAAUUUGGUUGCUCCCUGCUGGAGCUUUUGAAAGGGGGGCAGACUUCUAAAAGACUUGAACGGAGCGAGCGAUCUGGUUGAAAAGAAAUUAGCUCAUAGAACAGGGCGCAAACCAAGCAUUGCAAAAUAAAGGUGCAGUGGCCUGGUCGUAAAUUCCUCCAUGCUGCUGCUGCUGCGCUCGCUCGCUCGCUCUCUCUCUCUCUCUCUCUCUCUCUAUCUCUCUCUCUCUAUCUCUCUCUCUCUAUCUCUCUCUCUCUCUCUCUCUCUGCGGGAGAUUUACGGUCUCCUGUAAACCUCCAGCCCACCUGCCCUGUCAGACCAAGCCACCUGCUCCGCUGCCAAUUAUUAUUUGCAUUGUGUCAAUAAAGUAGGGCCAUUCUUAUGACUAACAUUCUGUCCUCUGAAAUCGGGCGCAUAGCAUGUAGAGCUGAGCCGAGUCAGGUUAUUUCUGAGGGCUAGGGGAGGUCAAUGUCAUUUGAUGCUUAAAAGGGGACAUAUUCAGGUCCACAGAGAAGAAACGUGUGCAUAUAAGGAAGAAAUGAUAGAACAUUGGCAAGUGAGGGUAGCCAACGUUUGUUUGUUUGUAUCCCAUUUUUCUCUGAGGAGGCCAAGAUGUUAUAUGUCCUGAGCAAGGAGCUUCUGAAUUCAAUUCUGGAGCUCUUGGGGUUGCAUACUAGUGUCAGAUGGGGCUGAGAGCAAAUGGGAUGGAGUCAAAAGUAGGACCGCCCCUCCAUAUUUUAGCCCAAAUUUCUUACUGCCAGUGGCUACCUGUUAGAAUGCAGAAACCUGGAGGGCAAGGUUUGGCCUGCAGACUGGAGGUCGUACCCCACUGGCAUAUAUGACCUUCCUUCUCUCCAUAUUAUCCUCACCAGAGCCUUUUUUUGUGAGUGAGGCUGAGAGCCAGUGGAUAGUCCAAAGUCAUCAAGUGAAUCUCAUGAGGACCUGGAUCUCAGAGUCCCUGUUCAACACUCUAACCGCUACACCACAUUGACUCUUCAGCAUUCACUGCUAGUGUUGGCCAAAGUUCUGCUUAGGUUUCCCUAUUAUGAUUAUAACCUGUUUUAGUGACCUGACACCCACAGGUGCUGGCUCUGGGUGCCAGAUCUGGUGCAGCAGUGCCAAAACGGGGUCCAGCUGCCACCACUGAGUGUAAAACAAGCCCAGUCCCCCCCCAAUUCCCAAGAAUUCUCAGUCCCUUGGGAAUGAAUAGCCAAGGAUGCCACUGGAGUCCCUCAGGUUCAGCUUCACUGCAGCCCACUUGUGACCUUAGAAGAGAAGGGCUAUGGUUAGCUUUUGCUCAGCACCAGGUUUUGCGGACAACCUGGUAAUUAAAAUAGCAUGGCCUAUUCCUUUGUGAAAGACCUGCUUUCUCCCACAAAGCACACAGUCUGGGUUUGGUGAAAACAGAGUCGAAGAUGUAUGAAAGAUUUAGGAAAAAGCUCAGAAUGGAAAAAAGGCUGGUCAGAGUCUGAAUGCACAACAAUAAGCAAUCAAAGUGGCGAAAGGCAAACAAAAAGGGAAAAAUACAGUCUACAAAGCACAGCCCUGGACAAAGUGCCUAGCUGGGUUUUUGAAGACCCUCGUGUCUGUGGAAGAGAUCUGGUGCCUGUGUCAGAUCCUCCCCUCUUUGUGUGGGAAAAACAAGGCCCCAGUGCUUGUGCCAGAGAAAGCUUGGUUCAGUCUCCUCUCAUGCCUCGCUCAAGCUCCCACACUUCCUGGAAGACAUGCUGCAAGAGAAAGACCUCCAGCCUCCUUUCCCAGGGGAGUACAACCCCUUCAGUUUCCUUGUCUAGGUGGCGUUUCAAGGAGCAUCUCUUGUUUUUGUGUCUGCUGACUGCCUGAUCAUGGCUCAUCCCCAACUUCUGAGAUAGAUUUUAGGAGAUUCCUUGUUAUUUCAGCAUCUGGACAAUUUGUUAUUCGGUACAUUUGCUAAAUGGAGAUGCUUGACUUUGAGAUGACCUUAGCCAGGGCAUCUGAAUUGCAGUGCCAGCAUUCAUAUGGCCUGGCAGAGACCCAGCUGAUCGAAAAUGGGAGUUUUCUGUAUCUUGGACCUCAGUAAGACGGUGUCAGUAUGGUCUGCCUGAGCAGCCCGCUCCAUUUUCUUAAUUGCAACUCCACUGGGAGCUGGCAGGUCCUGACUCUUCCCUCCCACCCCUCAGGAUGACCAGGGGAAGUUAACCAUCAAGCUCCUAUGGGACGGGUGUGCUAGUGUCUGGAUUGCAGUCCAGAUCUAAGCUACCUGGACUUCUUGCUUUCUCCAACCCACAUAAUUGAGCAAUGCUCCAAGCAGUCUAUGUACAUCACCAUGGGGGGAUUAACAGGUUCCUGUUGUGAAUUUCUCAAUCCUUAGACAUCUGUAUCUACCUACCUACCUACCUCCCCUUUGUAUUUAAAGGGCCUGAAGGCCAGUUAUUGAGAACAGCAUACCAUGGUAUUAACCGGUUGUUGGAACUAACACAUUGCAGGUCUCUCUGCUCACACAUGGCAACUCCAUGUUUUGUGGUGAGAUCUACUGAAAAGUAAGGUGGCAUAGAAGAAUUCGGCUUAGGGAACUAGAUACUGCUUUGAUAUAUGGAGCUGUGUCUAGGGCAUCAUUCUGCUAGCAGAAGUCUUUGACUGUUUGGGAAAGCCCCGUUUUUAUCUUUGCAGAAGUAUCACAACCACUAAAGCACUGCAGGAUUACAUGCUUGUGCAAGCCAUUGCACGUGUGAUUCUGUAGCUCAUUGCACCUUCAUCACACUAGUUCAGUGCUAGAAGGCCUUUUGGACAAGGGGCACAUUUGGCAGGUUGAGAAUCGGUACUGAGCACCACCAAAAAAUGGCUGCCAGGGGAGCAUGGCAGAGACAACUAAGACAAGGCAGAGGGGGGAGCUAAGCUCCAGCAUUUUGAACAGCUCCUUUGAACCCAUCGUUUUCAAAAUUUUCUGCUUCUUAGAAGUGAGGUGUAAGGCCUUUUGGUACUCGCAAGAAAGGUGUCUGGGAGCACACGGCGGCCUCUGCGCACCACACUGCUUGCCAGCAUGCUACGCAUUUGCGCUAGCUGCUUCACUCGUGGUUGUGCAAGUGCUGGCACAACCAGCAGUCAUUAGUUGAGCACCAUCACCUUUUGUACUUCUUCAGUUGGAACUAUGCCAGAGAAAAUCUAUACAUUUCUCCCCACUUGUGCCUGUGCACACAAAAACGCUCACGAAAUUAAAAAUCAGGAAGGCUGUGGAAGCAUGUGACACCCGUGUUAAUAUGAGAACAAGCGUAUAGCCAGAGCGGCAUAGCAGUUAAAGUGUUGGACUAGGACUCAGGAGAUGCAGGUUCUGAUUCACAUGUGACCAUAAUGCUUUGACAAAGCUUGAGUGGCUUUGGUCCAGUCUCUGGUUCUUGGCCUAAUCUACCUCACGUUGUUGUUGUGAGGAUAUAAUGGAAAAAAGGAAGAUUAUGUAAGUUGUUUGAAUACCUUGAAGGAUACAGGGCAGAAUGUCCAUAUAACAAAAGCAUAAAUCUUCAGAGUGUUGAGUUUUAAAAAUGGUAGAAAGGAAUAAGAUGCCCUGCUUGGUGGAUGUGGUUUUGGAUAAAGAUGAAACUGAACCUGGAAAUAUAAAAAAGGCACGUAAGGUUUAUUCAGAACGGAUGACACACAUAGGAGAGACAGCCUGGCAAGCCAGAGAGCUCUUAGUCUUGCAACAAAGACAGCAAAGAUUAUAUGCAUUUAAUGAUUAUCUAUGCCUAAUACUAACAUGCUGAUGUACAAAGUGGCAUUUUGCUAACUUCUUCAAGGCAGCUUUUUGGGGUGGAGGACCCCAGAGAAUUAGCACAUUCCUCGGUAAACGCACUUUGUUACCUCUUACAUCCUGUCCCUAAUUGGUUACCUCAUAUUUUCAAGUUGUCUUGAAAAUCACCUGAGAUCGUGAACGAUGGAAGCUGCUUGCUUCAUCAUCUAUGUCUUGGAGACGUAGAUGCCACAGCUGAACUACGCACCAUGUGAAGAAGUACUUUCUUUUAUCCAUUCUUUAUCUCCCACCAUCCAGCUUCAUAGGAUGACACUGGACUCUAUUAUUUGGGGAAAGGCAGAAAAAAACAGCUUUCUCCACACUAUGUGACAUUCUUGGAGGAUAUUAAUUAGACCUUGUGUUUUCCAUCCACUAUGGGUAGCCUUUAUUGAGCCUGACCCUAUUAACCCUGCUUGAUUUCUCAUUGGCUUUUGAUGCAUCAAACAUGUUAUUCUUCUAGAGUGACCCCCUGGGUUUGGCCAUUGGAGGCACUGUGUUACAGUGGUCCUGGUCCUAUCCGUGGGGUCAAUUUCAGUUUGACAUCUGAAUCAGGUAAAGAUCAGUGUCAAGACUCAGUGAUGGGCUGGAUGAGGGCCAAUAAACUGAAGCCAGAUCCUGGAAAAGUGGAAGCACUGCGGGCAAGGGCUUCCCAAGACAGGAAGAUAGACUCAUGACCUCUUCUGCAUGCCCCAUGAAAGAUUGGAUUCGUAGUCUGGGGGCACACUGAGAUUCAUCAUGGCUGCAGGAGUCCCGAGCAACCCCAGCAGCUUGGAGUGUGUUUUACCAUCUUCACCAGCAAUGGCCUUUCCCGUGAGAGCUUGACCACAGCAAUACCUCAAGACUGCAGUGCACCCUCUGUAGGGCAAGUGCUAGUGCAGAAGGCAGUGGGGACCUGGAUAUCUUGGAGAGCACCUUCUCCCUUAUCCACCUGGUUGGUGUGAUAGAAUAUUCUUUGCCUGUGACCCACCUGGAAUCCACUUGGAGGAAAUCCCUCAGUGUAGCAGCUCAAUUUCUCUGGAACUGUCUCUGGAGCUCUGGAAGGUGCUAAAGUUGUACUUCUUUGGGUUCCUUCUGAAAACACUUCUAUUUCCUGAAUGAAUGACCUAUGGCUUUAUUGAUUAGGUUUUUAAUAGAUUGUUUUCUGUGUUUUCCUUGUUUUAUCUUUACUGUACAUCAUUCAGAAAUCUCCAUAUUGGAAUAUGUAUUCAUUUAUGUAAACAAAUACUUAGAUAAGUACAAGCAUUGUUCCACAAACAGAUAAAUAAACCCUAAAGAGCUAGAAAUGGCAAUA